AGGAGUGGCAGAGUGGCUUAAUGCAGCUACCUGAAAAGUAGCCAUACAGUAAUGUAUCAAGGGUUCGAAUCCCUUCUCCUCCG
rnacentral:tRNA from 1 species